AGCCUGAUGCAGCGACGCCGCGUGAGGGAUGACGGCCUUCGGGUUGUAAACCUCUGUUAGCAGGGAAGAAGAGAGAUUGACGGUACCUGCAGAGAAAGCGCCGGCUAACUACGUGCCAGCAGCCGCGGUAAUACGUAGGGCGCGAGCGUUGUCCGGAAUUAUUGGGCGUAAAGGGCUUGUAGGCGGUUGGUCGCGUCUGCCGUGAAAUCCUCUGGCUUAACUGGGGGCGUGCGGUGGGUACGGGCUGACUUGAGUGCGGUAGGGGAGACUGGAACUCCUGGUGUAGCGGUGGAAUGCGCAGAUAUCAGGAAGAACACCGAUGGCGAAGGCAGGUUACUGGGCCGUUACUGACGCUGAGGAGCGAAAGCGUGGGGAGCGAACAGGAUUAGAUACCCUGGUAGUCCACGCUGUAAACGUUGGGCACUAGGUGUGAGGCUCCUUUCCGGGGGUUUUGCGCCGUAGCUAACGCAUUAAGUGCCCCGCCUGGGGAGUACGGCCGCAAGGCUAAAACUCAAAGGAAUUGACGGGGGCCCGCACAAGCGGCGGAGCAUGCGGAUUAAUUCGAUGCAACGCGAAGAACCUUACCAAGGCUUGACAUAUACUGGACCGCAUCAGAGAUGGUGUUUCCCUUCGGGGCUGGUAUACAGGUGGUGCAUGGUUGUCGUCAGCUCGUGUCGUGAGAUGUUGGGUUAAGUCCCGCAACGAGCGCAACCC
rnacentral:rRNA from 1 species